UCCGGAGGGUGCAAUCGUUAUCCGGAAUCACUGGGUUUAAAGGGUGCGUAGGCGGCUUGGUAAGUCAGCGGUGAAAGCUUCCCGCUUAACGGGAGAGGUGUUCCUGAUACUGCCAGGCUUGAAUCGGCGCGAGGCAGGCGGAAUGUGACAUGUAGCGGUGAAAUGCUUAGAUAUGUCAUAGAACACCGAUUGCGAAGGCAGCCUGCCAGAGCCGUUAUUGACGCUGAGGCACGAAAGCGUGGGGAGAGAACAGG
rnacentral:rRNA from 1 species